GGGUUGUGAGGUUAAGCGACUAAGCGUACACGGUGGAUGCCCUGGCAGUCAGAGGCGAUGAAGGACGUGCUAAUCUGCGAAAAGCGCCGGCGAGGUGAUAUGAACCUUUGACCCGGCGAUGUCCGAAUGGGGAAACCCAGUGCAAUCCGUUGCACUAUCGUUUGAUGAAUACAUAGUCAAACGAGGCGAACCGGGGGAACUGAAACAUCUAAGUACCCCGAGGAAAAGAAAUCAACCGAGAUUCCCCCAGUAGCGGCGAGCGAACGGGGAGCAGCCCAGAGCCUGAAUCAGCUUGUGUGUUAGUGGAAGCGUCUGGAAAGUCGCGCGAUACAGGGUGACAGCCCCGUACACGAAAGCACACAGGUUGUGAGCUCGAUGAGUAGGGCGGGACACGUGGUAUCCUGUCUGAAUAUGGGGGGACCAUCCUCCAAGGCUAAAUACUCCUGACUGACCGAUAGUGAACCAGUACCGUGAGGGAAAGGCGAAAAGAACCCCGGCGAGGGGAGUGAAAAAGAACCUGAAACCGUGUACGUACAAGCAGUGGGAGCCUCUUGAUGGGGUGACUGCGUACCUUUUGUAUAAUGGGUCAGCGACUUAUAUUCUGUAGCAAGGUUAACCGAAUAGGGGAGCCGAAGGGAAACCGAGUCUUAACUGGGCGUUAAGUUGCAGGGUAUAGACCCGAAACCCGGUGAUCUAGCCAUGGGCAGGUUGAAGGUUGGGUAACACUAACUGGAGGACCGAACCGACUAAUGUUGAAAAAUUAGCGGAUGACUUGUGGCUGGGGGUGAAAGGCCAAUCAAACCGGGAGAUAGCUGGUUCUCCCCGAAAGCUAUUUAGGUAGCGCCUCGUGAACUCAUCUCCGGGGGUAGAGCACUGUUUCGGCUAGGGGGCCAUCCCGGCUUACCAACCCGAUGCAAACUACGAAUACCGGAGAAUGUUAUCACGGGAGACACACGGCGGGUGCUAACGUCCGUCGUGAAGAGGGAAACAACCCAGACCGCCAGCUAAGGUCCCAAAGUCAUGGUUAAGUGGGAAACGAUGUGGGAAGGCACAGACAGCCAGGAUGUUGGCUUAGAAGCAGCCAUCAUUUAAAGAAAGCGUAAUAGCUCACUGGUCGAGUCGGCCUGCGCGGAAGAUGUAACGGGGCUAAACCAUGCACCGAAGCUGCGGCAGCGACACUAAGUGUUGUUGGGUAGGGGAGCGUUCUGUAAGCCUGCGAAGGUGUGCUGUGAGGCAUGCUGGAGGUAUCAGAAGUGCGAAUGCUGACAUAAGUAACGAUAAAGCGGGUGAAAAGCCCGCUCGCCGGAAGACCAAGGGUUCCUGUCCAACGUUAAUCGGGGCAGGGUGAGUCGACCCCUAAGGCGAGGCCGAAAGGCGUAGUCGAUGGGAAACAGGUUAAUAUUCCUGUACUUGGUGUUACUGCGAAGGGGGGACGGAGAAGGCUAUGUUAGCCGGGCGACGGUUGUCCCGGUUUAAGCAUGUAGGCUGGUUAUCCAGGCAAAUCCGGAUAAUCAAGGCUGAGGUGUGAUGACGAGUCACUACGGUGAUGAAGUAACAAAUGCCCUGCUUCCAGGAAAAGCCUCUAAGCAUCAGGUAACAUCAAAUCGUACCCCAAACCGACACAGGUGGUCAGGUAGAGAAUACCAAGGCGCUUGAGAGAACUCGGGUGAAGGAACUAGGCAAAAUGGUGCCGUAACUUCGGGAGAAGGCACGCUGAUAUGUAGGUGAAGCCCCUGCGGGUGGAGCUGAAAUCAGUCGAAGAUACCAGCUGGCUGCAACUGUUUAUUAAAAACACAGCACUGUGCAAACACGAAAGUGGACGUAUACGGUGUGACGCCUGCCCGGUGCCGGAAGGUUAAUUGAUGGGGUUAUCCGUAAGGAGAAGCUCUUGAUCGAAGCCCCGGUAAACGGCGGCCGUAACUAUAACGGUCCUAAGGUAGCGAAAUUCCUUGUCGGGUAAGUUCCGACCUGCACGAAUGGCGUAAUGAUGGCCAGGCUGUCUCCACCCGAGACUCAGUGAAAUUGAACUCGCUGUGAAGAUGCAGUGUACCCGCGGCAAGACGGAAAGACCCCGUGAACCUUUACUAUAGCUUGACACUGAACAUUGAGCCUUGAUGUGUAGGAUAGGUGGGAGGCUUUGAAGCGUGGACGCCAGUCUGCGUGGAGCCAACCUUGAAAUACCACCCUUUAAUGUUUGAUGUUCUAACGUGGACCCGUGAUCCGGGUUGCGGACAGUGUCUGGUGGGUAGUUUGACUGGGGCGGUCUCCUCCCAAAGAGUAACGGAGGAGCACGAAGGUUGGCUAAUCCUGGUCGGACAUCAGGAGGUUAGUGCAAUGGCAUAAGCCAGCUUGACUGCGAGCGUGACGGCGCGAGCAGGUGCGAAAGCAGGUCAUAGUGAUCCGGUGGUUCUGAAUGGAAGGGCCAUCGCUCAACGGAUAAAAGGUACUCCGGGGAUAACAGGCUGAUACCGCCCAAGAGUUCAUAUCGACGGCGGUGUUUGGCACCUCGAUGUCGGCUCAUCACAUCCUGGGGCUGAAGUAGGUCCCAAGGGUAUGGCUGUUCGCCAUUUAAAGUGGUACGCGAGCUGGGUUUAGAACGUCGUGAGACAGUUCGGUCCCUAUCUGCCGUGGGCGCUGGAGAAUUGAGGGGGGCUGCUCCUAGUACGAGAGGACCGGAGUGGACGCAUCACUGGUGUUCGGGUUGUCAUGCCAAUGGCACUGCCCGGUAGCUACAUGCGGAAGAGAUAAGUGCUGAAAGCAUCUAAGCACGAAACUUGCCCCGAGAUGAGUUCUCCCCUGGACUUUAAGUCCACUAAAGGAACGUUGAAGACGACGACGUUGAUAGGCCGGGUGUGUAAGCGCAGCGAUGCGUUGAGCUAACCGGUACUAAUGAACCGUGAGGCUUAACCUUACAACGCCGAAG
rnacentral:rRNA from 1 species